UACGUAGGGUGCAAGCGUUGUCCGGAAUUAUUGGGCGUAAAGAGCUCGUAGGCGGUUUGUCGCGUCUGCUGUGAAACCCCGAGGCUCAACCUCGGGUCUGCAUUCGAUACGGGCAGACUAGAGUUCGGUAGGGGAGUCUGGAAUUCCUGGUGUAGCGGUGAAAUGCGCAGAUAUCAGGAGGAACACCGGUGGUGAAGGCGGGACUCUGGGCCGAUACUGACGCUGAGGAGCGAAAGCGUGGGGAGCGAACAGG
rnacentral:rRNA from 1 species